rnacentral:rRNA from 1 species
AUUAGUGGCGAACGGGUGAGUAACACGUGGGCAAUCUGCCCUUCACUCUGGGACAAGCCCUGGAAACGGGGUCUAAUACCGGAUAACACUCUGUCCUGCAUGGGACGGGGUUAAAAGCUCCGGCGGUGAAGGAUGAGCCCGCGGCCUAUCAGCUUGUUGGUGGGGUAAUGGCCUACCAAGGCGACGACGGGUAGCCGGCCUGAGAGGGCGACCGGCCACACUGGGACUGAGACACGGCCCAGACUCCUACGGGAGGCAGCAGUGGGGAAUAUUGCACAAUGGGCGAAAGCCUGAUGCAG